rnacentral:rRNA from 1 species
UACGUAGGGUGCAAGCGUUAAUCGGAAUUACUGGGCGUAAAGCGUGCGUAGGCGGUGCCAUAAGUCUGUUGUGAAAUCUCCCGGCUUAACUGGGAGGGUGCGGUGGAAACUGUGGUGCUGGAGUGUGGGAGAGGUAGGCGGAAUUCCUGGUGUAGCGGUGAAAUGCGUAGAUAUCAGGAGGAACACCGGUGGCGAAGGCGGAUCUCUGGGCCUUAACCUGACGCUGAGGCGCGAAAGCUAGGGGAGCGAACAGG